GUGCUUGCUUCAGCAGCACAUAUACUAAAAUUGGAAUAAAAUAGAGAAGAUUAAUAUGGUUCCUGUGCAAUGAUAAUAUGCUAAUUUGUGACGUAUUCCAUAUAUUU
ensembl:snRNA U6 U6 spliceosomal RNA